rnacentral:ribozyme from 13 species
CCAAAGACCGAAACAAAUGAAAAAAUGAUGUGCAAGAAUAACAUAACAUGUGCAUCUCAUCUGCUCAUUUCUUUCUAUUCUUUAUCUUCUUCACUUCUUUUUGUUCCCUGACCUUUUUGAAAAGUAGUUCGAUGUUAGUAAAA